CUUUGGAGAGCAAAAGCAAAAGAUUAACUAACUGCUCACAUGGGUCCCAGGAAAAUACAAAAGCACUACUGUUUAACAGGAAAGUUACUAUCCAGAAAUUAACCCACAAAGGUGGGAAGAGUAUUUACCCGCUAAUCUCUUUAUUCCCUCGCCUGACAAAAUAUCUGCAUUCCUGGGCGGCCUCAAGAAAUGAACUACAGACAUCUAUUCCCUUUGUGAUACCUCCUUGGAAUCAAAGUGUGGAGUGUAACAAUGUGCCUCCACACACUCACACUAGUUGAUGCUUCAUCUUGGUGAAAUCAAGUUUUUGGAAUUACCUUUCCUAAGAUCAUUCUAUUCACAGAGAAGGAGCUUAAUGAAACUAUGGUGGAUGUAUUCUAGACAGAAGAAGGAUUAAACCAAGAUAAAAACAAUGUGAAUGAGGAAAGUGGGAGUAACAGGGAUUCCAAGAGAAAGAUUUUCCAUUUGUCAAAAAUGAGGAGUACUAAUCAGUAGUGCUAUGGAAACAAGACACUAACAGUUAUAGUCCGGAAGAAGAGAUGAUAACAUCUGUCCCUAAAAAGAGAAAUAUGUCUUAACCUUAAAGAAUCAAGGACUCCAGGGAUCUUUAAGUUCUGGUAGUGAGGAG
rnacentral:lncRNA from 1 species